AUUGAACGCUGGCGGCAGGCCUAACACAUGCAAGUCGAGCGAGCGGCGGACGGGUGAGUAAUGUAUGGGGACUGCCCGAUAGAGGGGGAUAACUACUGGAAACGGUAGCUAAUACCGCAUACUAUCGGAUAACCCAUAUGGGAUUAGCUAGUAGGUGAGGUAAAGCCUCACCAAGGCGACGAUCCCUAGCUGGUCUGAGAGGACGAUCAGCCACACUGGGACUGAGACACGGCCCAGACUCCUACGGAGGCAGCAGUGGGGAAUAUUGGACAAUGGGCGAAAGCCUGAUGCAGCCAUCCCGCGUGUAUGAAGAAGGCCCUCGGGUUGUAAAGUACUUUCAGCGGGGAGGCGUUACCGGCAGAAGAAGCACCGGCUAACUCCGUGCCAGCAGCCGCGGUAAUUC
rnacentral:rRNA from 1 species